rnacentral:rRNA from 1 species
UACACUCCUACGGGAGGCAGCAGUGGGGAAUAUUGCACAAUGGGCGCAAGCCUGAUGCAGCCAUGCCGCGUGUAUGAAGAAGGCCUUCGGGUUGUAAAGUACUUUCAGCGGGGAGGAAGGCGAUAAGGUUAAUAACCUUGUUGAUUGACGUUACCCGCAGAAGAAGCACCGGCUAACCCCGUGCCAGCAGCCGCGGUAAUACGGAGGGUGCAAGCGUUAAUCGGAAUUACUGGGCGUAAAGCGCACGCAGGCGGUCUGUCAAGUCGGAUGUGAAAUCCCCGGGCUCAACCGGGGAACUGCAUUCGAAACUGGCAGGCUAGAGUCUUGUAGAGGGGGGUAGAAUUCCAGGUGUAGCGGUGAAAUGCGUAGAGAUCUGGAGGAAUACCGGUGGCGAAGGCGGCCCCCUGGACAAAGACUGACGCUCAGGUGCGAAAGCGUGGGGAGCAAACAGGAUUAGAAACCCCUGUAGUCCCAUG